CCCACUCACACAAAGGCUGUGAAAUCCAAAGGAGAAGAGGGAGCUAGAGAGAUAUUUGGCUCUCAAGGUGGAGUAUUUUUGCCCCGGGGGAAAGGUACUGGGACUCCCAGACUCUUCUAAAACUCUACAGAAGGCUCCGUGCUAACAGACAGGCAUUGAAAUAUCAUCCUGCGCUUAUCAACAGGGGCACAAGUCCUUGUCACAUCGAAGCCAGUUGCGAGACAGUGAAAUGUUUUUCGCUAUUCUUUGAAUUUUCAAGCUCAGAUCAAAAGCCCUGAUUCCUUCUGGGUGCCUGGCCUGCAACAGAACAGGUGGCCAUCAGGCAAAUGGGGCUGCUGGGACUGACUUUGUGACUCAAACCACCAGAGCUCCCAAAGGUCGGGGCCAUCCCCUAAAAGUGUCCGGUAAACAGAAGGAGGUGUGCAGCCCUCGGGGGCUUUGAUGCUCUGGCCUCAGGGAACUCUGCAAACAGCUUUUCUUUUUAAUUGAGGUAAAAUCUACAUCUAAAAUAAACUGUUUGAAGCAUU